rnacentral:rRNA from 1 species
AGUGAACGCUGGCGGUAGGCCUAACACAUGCAAGUCGAACGGCAGCACAGUAAGAGCUUGCUCUUACGGGUGGCGAGUGGCGGACGGGUGAGGAAUACAUCGGAAUCUACUUUUUCGUGGAGGAUAACGUAGGGAAACUUACGCUAAUACCGCAUACGACCUACGGGUGAAAGCAGGGGAUCUUCGGACCUUGCGCGAUUGAAUGAGCCGAUGUCGGAUUAGCUAGUUGGCGGGGUAAAGGCCCACCAAGGCGACGAUCCGUAGCUGGUCUGAGAGGAUGAUCAGCCACACUGGAACUGAGACACGGUCCAGACUCCUACGGGAGGCAGCAGUGGGGAAUAUUGGGCCAUGGGCGCAAGCCUGAUCCAGCCAUACCGCGUGGGUGAAGAAGGCCUUCGGGUUGUAAAGCCCUUUUGUUGGGAAAGAAAAGCAGCAGGUUAAUACCCCGCUGUUCUGACGGUACCCAAAGAAUAAGCACCGGCUAACUUCGUG